rnacentral:rRNA from 1 species
AAGGGAGAGGAAUAGGUAGAAAUCUACCCUCGGGACGGGGAUAGCGGCGGGAAACUGCCGGUAAUACCCGAUAACAUCUUCGGAUCAAAGGUGUGAUUCCGCCUGGGGAUGAGUCUACUUCCUAUUAGCUUGUUGGCGGGGUAAUGGCCCACCAAGGCAACGAUGGGUAGCGGGUGUGAGAGCAUGACCCGCCUCACUGGGACUGAGAACUGCCCAGACACCUACGGGUGGCUGCAGUCGAGAAUCUUCGGCAAUGGGCGCAAGCCUGACCGAGCGACGCCGCGUGCGGGAUGAAGGCCUUCGGGUUGUAAACCGCUGUCGUAGGGGAACAAAUUUAUGGGGGUUCUCCCCUGUAAUUGAGUGAUCCUAGGAGGAAGGAGAGGCUAAGCUCGUGCCAGCAGCCGCGGUAAGACGAGCUCUCCAAACGUUAUUCGGUAUCACUGGGCUUAAAGAGUUCGUAGGCGGCCUUGCAGGUGAGGUGUGAAAGCCCUCGGCUCAACCGGGGAACUGCGCUUCAAACCGCAAGGCUGGAGGGAGAUAGAGGUGAGCGGAACAGAUGGUGGAGCGGUGAAAUGCGUUGA